GAUGAACGCUGGCGGCGUGCCUAAUACAUGCAAGUCGAACGCACAGCGAAAGGUGCUUGCACCUUUCAAGUGAGUGGCGAACGGGUGAGUAACACGUGGACAACCUGCCUCAAGGCUGGGGAUAACAUUUGGAAACAGAUGCUAAUACCGAAUAAAACUCAGUGUCGCAUGACACAAAGUUAAAAGGCGCUUUGGCGUCACCUAGAGAUGGACCAGCGGUGCAUUAGUUAGUUGGUGGGGUAAAGGCCUACCAAGACAAUGAUGCAUAGCCGAGUUGAGAGACUGAUCGGCCACAUUGGGACUGAGACACGGCCCAAACUCCUACGGGAGGCUGCAGUAGGGAAUCUUCCACAAUGGGCGAAAGCCUGAUGGAGCAACGCCGCGUGUGUGAUGAAGGCUUUCGGGUCGUAAAGCACUGUUGUAUGGGAAGAACAGCUAGAAUAGGGAAUGAUUUUAGUUUGACGGUACCAUACCAGAAAGGGACGGCUAAAUACGUGCCAGCAGCCGCGGUAA
rnacentral:rRNA from 1 species